AGAAACAGGUUGAAGUGUAGCCGCAGAGAAGGCAAAAGAGACCAAAUUGUAGUUUUAAAUAUGUUUAUAUAAGUAUUGGUUGCAAGCAAUCUUACAGUGAGACACUAAGGCUCAUACACACAGUUCCUAAGUAUAUAAACAGGGAGGAAAAGAUAGCCUUUGGAUAAUAGAAUAGGAGGGGAA